AAACCGGCGUGAGCCAGGUCGGUUUCUAUCCUAAGAUAGUUAANACUCUUAUUAGUACGAAAGGACCAUAAGGGUAAAAUAUUUUUANUANUAUUUGAUUUAUAUUAAUUUAAUNUUAA
rnacentral:rRNA from 1 species